UAGGGAAUCUUCCACAAUGGACGAAAGUCUGAUGGAGCAACGCCGCGUGAGUGAAGAAGGGUUUCGGCUCGUAAAACUCUGUUGUUAAAGAAGAACAUAUCUGAGAGUAACUGUUCAGGUAUUGACGGUAUUUAACCAGAAAGCUACGGCUAACUACGUGCCAG
rnacentral:rRNA from 1 species